rnacentral:rRNA from 1 species
UGCCGCGUGCAGGAAGACUGCCCUAUGGGUUGUAAACUGCUUUUAUACAGGAAGAAACACUCUCACGUGUGAGAGCUUGACGGUACUGUAAGAAUAAGGAUCGGCUAACUCCGUGCCAGCAGCCGCGGUAAUACGA